GUGGGUAGAGCUCAGUGGUAGAGUGAGUGCUUAGCAUGUAUAAGGUCCUGGCUUCAAUCCCCAGUACCUCCA
rfam:Camelus ferus unplaced genomic scaffold scaffold1061, whole genome shotgun sequence.